GAGCAAAGCUGGUUAUGACAAGCAGAAUGCAAUGGAAUUAAUGAUUCAGUCAAGUAAUAGCUCUGUUCUGAUGAAGUUUAAGGAAAAAAAUAAUUACACUCUUGUUUAUAAGGUUGAUGAGAAUAUUCGAGAUGCUCUUGAUGAAACCAUUAAAGACAUCAAGACAUUUGCUGAUUCUGUGGUCAUCAGCAAGAGUUCUGUCUUCCCAGAUAAUGCGCUAUUCCUCAUUGGUGUUACAGAUGUUGUGCCACGGCUAAAAUCAGCUGGGCUCCCUGUAUAUGUAGAGACCUUCAGCAAUGAAUUUGUAUCUCAAGCAUGGGACUUCUUCUCGGAUGCAAAUGUUGAGGUUAACACUUAUGUCAUGGAAGCCAACGUUAAUGGUGUUAUCACAGACUUCCCUCUAACAGCAAGUAGAUACAAAAGGAACCGUUGUUUAAAUUUGGGCAAGAACACACCUCCUUACAUGACCCCGGUUCCGCCAGGUGGUCUCCUGGAAAUAAUUCCGCGUGAAUUAUUGCCGCCAGCUGAGGCUCCUAACCCAGUGCUAACGGAGAACGAUGUGGCAGAGUCACCUUUGCCCUCCGUUAUUGCGAGGGUUCCAUCUUCCAGCCCAGGUGAUGGAACUGCACAAGCAGCAGCUCCAAGACCAAAUGGACAGCAUAAGAUUGCCGCAUGCUUCUUCCUUACAAAUCUGGCCAUUCUCUUCACUGUAUUUUCGCUACUUUAAAAAUCGAAAAAGUCAGCUCUGCUUAAUAUCUUCCUGCGCCUUUCUAUUUACAGUCUAUUUGCGGUGCUUUAUUUUUGGUUUAUUGUUGUAGGAAUGUUCAUUCUUCCCGUUGUAUUUUGGAGAGAAACAAAGUCAAGGCAUAAUUCAUUACCCGUGUAAGAUAUAUUUAUAUUCUUUGGUGUGUAUCAUUAAGAGAAGUUAAGAGGCAUGGACUGAAUAUACCCA
rnacentral:misc_RNA from 1 species